rnacentral:rRNA from 1 species
CAGUAGCCGCGGUAAUACGAAGGGCGCAAGCGUUAAUCGGAAUUACUGGGCGUAAAGCGUGCGUAGGCGGUUUGUUAGGUCUGCUGUGAAAUCCCCGGGCUCAACCUGGGAAUGGCAGUGGAUACUGGCAAGCUAGAGUGUGUCAGAGGAUGGUGGAAUUCCCGGUGUAGCGGUGAAAUGCAUAGAGAUCGGGAGGAACAUCAGUGGCGAAGGCGACUCUCUGGUCUGUAACUGACGCUGAGGAGCGAAAGCGUGGGGAGCGAACAGGAUUAGAGACCCCAGUAGUCCCUGUCUCUUAUAA